rnacentral:lncRNA from 1 species
AUGGGGGAAUUACCCGACCAAGGGAGCAAGGUGUGGGUUCCAGGCAGAAGCCUCAGCAUUGCGGAGGCUGACCGGGAAGCGGCAUCCACUGAGGAUGAGUCACUGCAGAAAGCCGACAGUGAGGGACAGCCACUGCGGACAAGGCGGGCACACUGGCAGGAAGGGCCGUUCUCGCCACAUCAAGGUUUGGACCAUAGGAAACGUAGGGGGAGACAAGGGAGGCUGCCCAGUGUGCAGGGAGACCCACACCCCUCGCUAACAAUCAGAGGAGUCGUUUUUACAGAGGUCUGGACACUGAGCUUCCUGAGAACAAAGAUUUCAGGGAGGGAAAACGUACGUCAGUAGCAGCAGCUCCUCCGAUGUGAAGAGGCACAAUAUUAACAAGGGGCUUACGUCGAAGAGAGAUGAGACUGUGACUUCAUUUAAGCCACCGGGUAAAUGCAUUUCCCCCCUAAUUUCAGCCUUGGGUGCACUGCGUCCACUGGCACCGACCGCAUGGGUCGCAAGUCACUUUCAAGCAUAAAGCUGUUUAUCCUUAACUCGGCUGUGGGCUGCAGGGGGCUGGGCUGCACCCUUUGUUUGGGACGGUGGUUUCCAGCGCGGGGGCUGCAUCCCACCAUCAGACUGGGGGCUGCUUGGGGUGGAGACUAGACCCACCCACUCACUCCUCAGCCCUUCACAGGCCACCUGCCCUGUGCCUGCACGGACAGGGGUGCGGAUUCAGAGCUGAAUCUGACACGGCCCUGCCUUUGAGCUGAGGGGCUCUAUUGCAGUCACAGCCACAGUGAUGAGCCUAGUGGGAUGUAGCGUGGGGUCUUGAGGGCAAGGCGGGGGCUCUGAGCCAGGAAGUGGGUGCUCUAUUUUCUCCCCCCCCUCCUGCUGCUUGCUCAUUUGCUUGUUCCUUCCUUUGUUCAAAGGAAACCCGGGGAGGGAAGCACACUGUUGGGGAAUUCCAUGUCCAGGGAGGAUGGACACCUGGCCGGCAGAGCGGAACGAGACCUACAGGUCCUCCUCCUCCAGGAAGCCUGCCUUGACGGCUCAGCGCCAGAAGCACCCCCUUCUCAGUCUGACUACACUUCCGGGGCCCGGCCGCACAUCUUUCCCACUAAGCCCUGAGGUAUCUGACGACAGAAACUGUUUUCUUCCUUUCUCGGGACUGGGCCCCAGUGGGAACUUGACCAUGGCCUUCUGAUUUGGGAGGCAGGUCAGGGAAGUGGUGAGACCUGCCCUGGAUGCUGGGCCCCGUCAGAUGAGUUGGGGAGAGGUGGCCGGAGCAGGCGAGUGACAUCCAAGAGAUGAGGGCUCUGUCUGUCCCCGAGGGAGGGAGUUGACGGCGGGGUGAGCA